UACGUAGGGUGCAAGCGUUAAUCGGAAUUACUGGGCGUAAAGCGUGCGCAGGCGGUGAUGUAAGACAGAUGUGAAAUCCCCGGCUCAACCUGGGAACUGCAUUUGUGACUGCAUCGCUGGAGUACGGCAGAGGGGGGAUGGAAUUCCGCGUGUAGCAGUGAAAUGCGUAGAUAUGCGGAGGAACACCGAUGGCGAAGGCAAUCCCCUGGGCCUGUACUGACGCUCAUGCACGAAAGCGUGGGGAGCAAACAGG
rnacentral:rRNA from 1 species